rnacentral:snRNA from 1 species
AUACUUACCUGGCAGGGGAGAUACCAUGAUCACGAAGGUGGUUUUCCCAGGGCGAGGCUUAUCCAUUGCACUCUGGAUGUGCUGACCCCUGCGAUUUCCCCAAAUGUGGGAAACUCGACUGCAUAAUUUGUGGUAGUGGGGGACUGCGUUCGCGUUCUUUCCUG